AGGCAGCUGAUUGGGCCCGAUUUGGGGGGGGGGGGGGAAGGACUGUGGCGCUGGGCAGGGUGACGAGAGGAGAGGGGAGGAGCGGGGAGGCGAUCGCAGCCUCUGGUCCCGCGGGGGGUUGGGGGGGUGCACCGGGGAAGGCGGGGGACCCGGGACUUCCAAGUGUGACCGGAUGCCUGGGGCACGUUGCAUUGUCCUGGUUUCUGGAACCUGUAGGUUCGAGGGGCCAAGGCUUCCUGCAAUGCGAUGCUGAUGCUGAGUGGCCUGAGCCGGGCUCCUGGGCAGACGAUCAAGCUGGGUCACCAGCCCUCUGGUCUAGCUCAGGCAGCUGCCAGAGUGCCUUCCACCCUAGGGCCCUGGGAAGGCCAAAGCCAUGAAGUCAGUCCCCAACUUUCCGGUUAUCCUGGAGUGACAUCUCAACGCUGGCGGUUCUCAGUGCUGUGACGUCGCAGAAAAAUUCACAGGGUGGGCGGACCAAGAGCCCCCUGCUUAAACAGCCCCGGGGCGUCAUCAAGUGGGGGCCACAGGGAACCCGGAGAUGCACUGGGCUUCCUGCCCUGUCAUUGUUUAUGUCAGAUUAAUUUCUUGGUGCGCAGGCUGUCUGCAAGCAGACAGAGGAGGCCGGCAGCAUUAUGACCGCAUUGCCUCUGGGGGUUUGGGUUCAAGGGAGAGACAAGGGCUGUCUCUCUGUCCUCUCUUUCCCAGCUUCCAAUAGGUAGAUGAGGCGUUUUGAGAAAACAGUUUCAUUCUUUUCCACCCCUACUUCUCUCUACGACAAUUUUCUCCCAAGGCCCUUUCACUGGUGUAAAAGGAGUAAAUAAACUCUUAAACCCA